AGUAAGCGCGUUAAGGAUGGAAGUGGCAUCCUUUUUUAUUUUGCCUGAUCUAUUUUGUGAAGCAUGAACAACAUAGGUAAAGUGCAAAUAAAAAAGAUAUAACGGACAGCCUGACGCUUU
rnacentral:sRNA from 1 species